CCUAAGCAGUUCGGGGGAAUGGGCAUUGCAAACAUCGAAAUUCUGAACAAAGUGCUACGCAGCAAAUGGUGGUGGAAGUUAUUUGAAAACCAAGACUCCUCGCUGUACUCUUUAAUCCACUCGGGAUAUUAUCAGCAGCGGUCCUUCACGCUGAGCAUGCACCACCAACAGCAUCUUUUGCCGUUCUGGAAGUCAGUUCUGAAGGUUAGUGAACUAUUUCAGAGCUUCACUAAAUUUAAUCUUGAUACUGGCUCCAACAUCCUAUUCUGGCAUGACACUUGGCUGUUUCCUCAACCCA
rnacentral:lncRNA from 1 species